AAAAGGUGUGAGUGUGUGAGGAAGAAAGGAGCUUGGUUGCUAGGAAACCGGGGAGCCAGUACAGCCAAACAGCCACUAGGUGCUUAGGGAUUGUGUGGGUUGUGCUGACUGCAUGUAUGUGAGUACCUGGGGCCUUUCUCUUAUAGUGCCAGCUAGAAAUCUGCCACAUCAAGUCCUCUAGUCUGACAUCAGAUGUAAAAAGAUGCUGCAUAAUGUAAUGACUAGUGAGGCUUUCCAUUGUGGUGGUCCCCCCUUGUUCACAGGGAAUACAUUUCAACACUCCCUAUGGAUGCCUGUAACCAAAGACUGCUAUUGAACAUGGGUAACUGGAACCACAGAAAGCAAAACCACACAAAUAAGAGGGGACUACUAUAUGAAAGAUGGAACCCAACUCCAGAAAAGAGAAUUUGUUAUAUAUAGUAACCGGAAAGUCUAGGGGUGGACACUGCUUCAGAUAGCACUGGAUUCAGUAACAGGCAGAAAUUCAUCAGAUCUGAUUAGUGGGAAGUAUUCUUGGACUCUAAAUAUCAUACUGCAGCCAGGAGUUUUGAACUCCUGUGUCCAGCACGGGACCCUGGAAGGCUGCUUGCACACAUAAAGUCUUUGAGGAUGGCAGAUGGCCAACAUAGAAGACACUUGUCUCUUCUUGGGUCCUUUGCUUUGACACAAUGAUUAUGCUUCAACCCCACUGUGGCCUCUUACUCAUUUGGGGAGAAAAAUUGAGCAGAAAUGUCACUUCGACUUGGACUAGUCAACUACCCAGCAUUUGUGGCUCAGUGUUCUUUCUCUUGCCAUAUCUGUUCUUAUUACAGCAUUAAGCUCAAAUAUGAAAGAUAUUUCCAAAGCAUCUCCAAAUUUCCUUUAAUAAAUUACUCAAGGGCCAGGCACGGUGGCUCAAGCCUGUAAUCCCAGCACUUUGGGAGGCCAAGGCGGGUGGAUCACCAGGUCAAGAGAUCGAGACCAUCCUGGUCAACGUGGUGAAACCCCGUCUCUAUUAAAAAUACAAAAAAUUAGCUGGGCAUGGUGGCAUAUGCUUGUAAUCCCAGCUGCUCAGGAGGCUGAGGCAGGAGAAUUGCCUGAACCCAGGAGUCGGAGGUUGCGGUGAGCCGAGAUCGCGCCAUUGCACUCCAGCCUGGGUAACAAGAGCAAAACUCCGUCUCAAAACAAAAAAAAAAAAAACCAACAAUAAAUUACUCAAUUUUUUAAGUGCUUCUUCAAUGUUGUGUUAUUUUUAGCAAAUAUAUCCUCUUGGGUUUUUUUAUGCAUGUUAACAAUAUGCUUUGAAAAGAAAGAUAAAAAUUCCUUGCUUAAUAAGCAUUACAUUUGUAUUUCCAAGAUUGCCUCUUGGAAGAAUUUUUACCCAUAUUUGCAAUUUUCUUCAAUAAUAGGGAAACAGUACUUGAACUCCUCAGCUCAUCUCAAUGUGGGUACACUUUAUAAAAAAAGAUGUAUGGUGCCCAGCAUAAGCUAUUGGAUGUUUCCUUUUUCACUUUGUGAAAACCUGUAUGGCAGUCAUUGAGCUUUUCCAAAUAAUAGCUCCAGCUAGGGUCCCUACCUGCAGAGCCAGCGUCAAUGCCGACAUGAGGAAAAGCCAGCCUUCAUGUGAUUCCGCCCCCAGCCUUCAGGCCAUCCAGGUGAUGACAAGAGGCAGAAUUGAGGUGUUUCCACUGAGCCUAGCCUUAACUGUAGAUUUAUGAGCUAAACAGUGAUCGUUGUUGUUAUAAGCCACGAAGUUCUGGAUACUUUGCUACACAACAAUAAACAACCAAUGAAAUGACACGUACGACUUCUGCUCCCUGUCCAUUGUCUGUGACUAUGGCCCUGGCUAAUUGCAGGAGUCUGAGAAGUACAUAUUUCUGAGUGCUUCGGAAGGAGAGGACAACCUGACAUUGGUGAGCAUUAGUAAUGUGUGCAACGGUGACUUGGUUUUCAAUUAUUCAGAACAUUUUCUUCUUCUUAUAAAGACAAUACAUGCUCACAAUGGAAAA